rnacentral:rRNA from 1 species
GAUGAACGCUGGCGGCGUGCCUAAUACAUGCAAGUCGAGCGAAGCGGCGGACGGGUGAGUAACACGUGGAUAACUACCUAUUAGAGGGGGAUAACUAUUGGAAACGAUAGCUAAUACCGCAUACUAGUAGAUGGACCUGCGUUGCAUUAGCUAGUAGGUAGGGUAAUGGCCUACCUAGGAAACGAUACAGAGCCGACCUGAGAGGGUGAACCGCCACACAGGGACUGAGACACUGCCCAGACUCCUACGGGAGGCAGCAGUAGGGAAUCUUUGGCAAUGGGGGGAGCCCUGACCGAGCAACGCCGCGUGAGUGAAGAAGGUUUUCGGAUCGUAAAGCUCUGUUGUUAAGGAAGCGGUACUUAACCAGAAAGGGACGGCUAACUACGUGCCAGCAGCCGCGGUAAUAC